GUUCGUGUGAAUGUGUGUAUGCGUGUGCGAGAGGAGAACGGUAAGUGUCCCGGGUGCAGGUGUGCCCGUGAAAAUGCGUGUGAAUGUAGCAGGGGCUGAACACAUUGAUGCGAUUAUUACCUGACCAUGGAUGAUUGUAAACUGUGAAGGUCGGCUAUGGGGAGGGUGUGAGGGACUGUGUGCGCGAAUGUGUUUGAACGUGGGGUGGGGGAGGUGGUGUGAUCAGGGACAGUAACAAUGUCAGCGGCUGUGUAAAUGUGGGGGUACGUGGGUUAUGGGGGUGAAGUAGGCUGCGAAGAGCCCAGCCAGGACAGUGGGCGUGGGAUGCCCCUUAUGACCGACGUGUCUUGGCCUUGGGGAGGGUCUCCGUGGCUUUAACAAAAGUAGACCAAGCAGGAGGCGGGAGAGGCUAUGCGCGUCCCCCCCAGGCCCGGGAGUGCGCAAGGACUUUCUCCAACCUGCAGCCAGAGAGCCACAACACAUGCGUGUAUCUUGCUUGGGCUAUCUUCCCUGCUCUGCCACGCCGGGUCUGGAGAAGGGGUUUCAGCCCCAGGACAUUUACUGAGAGUCGGCGAAUAUUGGGCAUUACUAGGGAUGUGAAUGGGAGACUGGUAUAGAAAGUGGUGAGGAGCCGAAGCCAAGAAAUUGCUUUAAACACAAGAUGAAAACGCUCUGUUCUGUCCACACAAAGAAUCACCUAAUACUGGUGUGAGGCAUCUCACUUAGCUGUGGAGAAGUCCUUGGAAUUAGAUCUCAGAAAGACAGUUCCAGCUUUAAGACAGUAAAACCUUUAGGCAAUGGGCUAAUUGCCUUAAAGGAAAGAAGAGUUCUACUUGAAAGAGCUUGCAGGUGAGAAAUUGUCCUACAAAGAUUCUUAGAAAUGUUAGCGGAGAUAACUGACAUGGGUAGCUGUGGGCCAACCAAGAACUGUCAACAGCCUGAUCUCAUAGCAAAGCUGUUUUCAAGAAAAAUUCCCUUCUGAGGGCCACAGCCUGAGCCCUGACCCUUGUCACAGCCCAACACUGCAGUCCACCCCACCGCCUGGGACACAACUCAAGAAUAUUAUCUCUUAGGAAGACACCUGUUUUGUUCUACCUGCAAAUCCUACCUCUGAGGACGGGGCAAGGACUGGCCCAAUUCCUAGGGCCUGUUUAGGAAUCCAGCCACGUGAUUGCUUCUGGGAGCAGGCCUGGCUGGGCCAGUGAGUGCUCAGCAGUUUUGGUGCAACUCAAUCAUCUGGUCAUGGGUCUCUUGUGGGAAGACAGGCCCCUUCCUUUCCCUCCCUGUCCUAAGAAUUGGGGGCCCUCCUCGAGACCCUCUAGGAUCCUGAGUGCCACUAGGGCAGGUGGAGAGGAGCUGAAAACUCUGCCCCUCUUUGUCCAGGGCCACGCAUCCUAUUGGAUGAGCAAAUACUACUCAGCUAGACUUUGUGCCUUCUGGGCAUGGCCAGGCCCAAAGGCUCCAUCCACAGGCAGGAAUGAAUACGUGUUGGAGGCCAAGGACCAGGGUGCUGGGACACUCUGCCAACUGCCCACUGAAAUCCCAGCCCUCUCAGGAAAACUCUAGUUUCUGUCCAAAGGUUUGGCCAAUGCACAGAAUGGUCCCCAGCCUCUG
rnacentral:lncRNA from 1 species